CGGGCACCGCCCGCUCACAUCCGCCGCCUUUGCACCCGAGGCCGCGACGAGCAGAAAAUCUCGGUUGUAAAACAACCAGAGAUGUUUGUGCGGCCUGACCCACUGCUAUCAAAAGUGAGAAGACCAGUGAGGCUAGGUUGUACUUGGAGUGUCUGUGAUCCUCCCUCUGGCUCACCCAGAGCCCUGGCCAAAUUCUCUCCCCACUCCGGGCCUCAGUUUACCGUUGGUACAAUGGGAAGGAGAAGAGUGUGGACUGGAUGUCCCUGACGUUGACUAAAAUUGCUGAUUCUAAAUUAGACCCCAUCUGCCCUA